rnacentral:rRNA from 1 species
CCUACGGGUGGCAGCAGUCGAGAAUCAUUCACAAUGGGGGAAACCCUGACCGAGCAACGCCGCGUGAAUGAAGAAGGCCUUCGGGUUGUAAACUUCUGUUAUAAGGGAAGAAAGGUGAUAGGAGGAAAUGACUAUCAAUUGACGGUACCUUAUGAGAAAGCCACGGCUAACUACGUGCCAGCAGCCGCGGUAAUACGUAGGUGGCAAGCGUUAUUCGGAAUUAUUGGGCGUAAAGAGCGCGCAGGUGGUUAGUUAAGUCUGAUGUGAAAGCCCACGGCUUAACCGUGGAAGGUCAUUGGAAACUGGUUGACUUGAGUGCAGGAGAGGGAAGUGGAAUUCCAUGUGUAGCGGUGAAAUGCGUAGAGAUAUGGAGGAACAUCAGUGGCGAAGGCGGCUUCCUGGUCUGCAACUGACACUGAGGCGCGAAAGCGUGGGGAGCAAGCAGGAUUAGAUACCCGGGUAGUC